GACGUAGGGCGCGAGCGUUGUCCGGAUUUAUUGGGCGUAAAGAGCUCGUAGGCGGCUUGUCGCGUCGACUGUGAAAUCCCGCGGCUCAACUGCGGGUCUGCAGUCGAUACGGGCAGGCUAGAGUUCGGUAGGGGAGACUGGAAUUCCUGGUGUAGCGGUGAAAUGUGCAGAUAUCAGGAGGAACACCGGUGGCGAAGGCGGGGUCUCUGGGCCGAUACUGACGCUGGAGGCGCGAAAAGCGUGGGGAGCGAACAGG
rnacentral:rRNA from 1 species